rnacentral:rRNA from 1 species
GAUGAACGCUGGCGGCGUGCCUAAUACAUGCAAGUCGAGCGAACAGACGAGGAACUUGCUCCUCUGACGUUAGCGGCGGACGGGUGAGUAACACGUGGAUAACCUACCUAUAAGACUGGGAUAACUUCGGGAAACCGGAGCUAAUACCGGAUAAUAUAUUGAACCGCAUGGUUCAAUAGUGAAAGACGGUUUUGCUGUCACUUAUAGAUGGAUCCGCGCCGCAUUAGCUAGUUGGUAAGGUAACGGCUUACCAAGGCAACGAUGCGUAGCCGACCUGAGAGGGUGAUCGGCCACACUGGAACUGAGACACGGUCCAGACUCCUACGGGAGGCAGCAGUAGGGAAUCUUCCGCAAUGGGCGAGAGCCUGACGGAGCAACGCCGCGUGAGUGAUGAAGGUCUUCGGAUCGUAAAACUCUGUUAUUAGGGAAGAAUAAAUGUGUAAGUAACUAUGCACGUCUUGACGGUACCUAAUCAGAAAGCCACGGCUAACUACGUG